UACGUAGGGGGCAAGCGUUGUCCGGAAUCAUUGGGCGUAAAGAGCGUGUAGGCGGUCCGAUAAGUCUGCUGUGAAAGUCGAGGGCUCAACCCUGGAAUGCCGGUGGAUACUGUCGGGCUCGAGUCCGGAAGAGGCGAGUGGAAUUCCUGGUGUAGCGGUGAAAUGCGCAGAUAUCAGGAGGAACACCAAUGGCGAAGGCAGCUCGCUGGGACGGUACUGACGCUGAGACGCGAAAGCGUGGGGAGCAAACAGG
rnacentral:rRNA from 1 species